AUUGAACGCUGGCGGCAUGCUUUACACAUGCAAGUCGAACGGCAGCGCGGGCUUCGGCCUGGCGGCGAGUGGCGAACGGGUGAGUAAUGCAUCGGAACGUGCCCAGUAGUGGGGGAUAGGCCGGCGAAAGCCGGAUUAAUACCGCAUACGACCUGAGGGUGAAAGGGGGGGACCGAAAGGCCUAGAGCGAUUGGAGGGGCCCUAGUGGGAUUAGCUAGUUGGUGAGGUAAAGGCUUACCAAGGCGACGAUCCGUAGCUGGUCUGAGAGGACGACCAGCCACACUGGAACUGAGACACGGUCCAGACUCCUACGGGAGGCAGCAGUGGGGAAUUUUGGGCAAUGGGCGCAAGCCUGAUCCAGCCAUGCCGCGUGAGGGAAGAAGGCCUUCGGGUUGUAAACCGCUUUUGUUCGGGAAGAACAUCUCUGGGCUAAUACCCCGAGAGCAUGACGGUACCGGAAGAAAAAGCACCGGCUAACUACGUG
rnacentral:rRNA from 1 species